AGGGCAGCCAAGUCGUGAGGCGGAGCUAAUCCCUUAAAGCCAUUCUCAGUUCGGAUUGUAGGCUGAAACUCGCCUACAUGAAGCUGGGGUUACUAGUAAUCGCAGAUCAGAAUGCUGCGGUGAAUGCGUUCCCGGGUCUUGUACACACCGCCCGUCACACCACGGAAGUUGGGGGCGCCCGAAGCCACUUAGCUAACCCUUUUGGGAAGCGAGUGUCGAAGGUGAAAUCAAUAACUGGGGUGAAGUCGUAACAAGGUACC
rnacentral:rRNA from 1 species